GUGAGAAUGAGAAUAAGUAUGAGAUUGAGGGAGAGGAUGAGAGGGAGGAGUAACAAACAUGAAAACAAAAACGUGAAAGUGAAAGCAAUUUCAAAUAGAUUUUUGGUUUUUUGUUACUCCUCCCUCUCAAUCUCAUCUUCACUCUCAUUCUCCCUUUUUUCCCUUUGUACU
rnacentral:miRNA from 1 species